rnacentral:rRNA from 1 species
AUUGAACGCUGGCGGCAUGCUUUACACAUGCAAGUCGAACGGUAACAGGCCUUCGGGUGCUGACGAGUGGCGAACGGGUGAGUAAUGCAUCGGAACGUACCCAGAGGUGGGGGAUAACGCAGCGAAAGCUGUGCUAAUACCGCAUGUGAUCUGAGGAUGAAAGCGGGGGACCGAGCAGCAAUGUUUGGCCUCGCGCCUUUGGAGCGGCCGAUGUCGGAUUAGCUAGUUGGUGGGGUAAAGGCCUACCAAGGCGACGAUCCGUAGCUGGUCUGAGAGGACGACCAGCCACACUGGGACUGAGACACGGCCCAGACUCCUACGGGAGGCAGCAGUGGGGAAUUUUGGACAAUGGGCGCAAGCCUGAUCCAGCAAUGCCGCGUGCGGGAAGAAGGCCUUCGGGUUGUAAACCGCUUUUGGCAGGAACGAAACGGUGUCCGCUAAUACCGGGCGCUAAUGACGGUACCUGCAGAAUAAGCACCGGCGAACUACGU